AAUGAACGCUGGCGGCAGGCCUAACACAUGCAAGUCGAACGGGUCCUUCGGGACUAGUGGCGGACGGGUGAGUAACGCGUGGGAACAUACCCAAAGGUACGGAAUAGCCUCGGGAAACUGAGAGUAAUACCGUAUGUGCCCUUCGGGGGAAAGAUGUAUCGCCUUUGGAUUGGCCCGCGUUGGAUUAGGUAGUUGGUGGGGUAAUGGCCUACCAAGCCGACGAUCCAUAGCUGGUUUGAGAGGAUGAUCAGCCACACUGGGACUGAGACACGGCCCAGACUCCUACGGGAGGCAGCAGUGGGGAAUCUUAGACAAUGGGGGAAACCCUGAUCUAGCCAUGCCGCGUGAUCGAUGAAGGCCUUAGGGUUGUAAAGAUCUUUCAGAUGGGAAGAUAAUGACGGUACCAUCAGAAGAAGCCCCGGCUAACUCCGUG
rnacentral:rRNA from 1 species